GGGUCAGUAGGUUGGUCGUGCCACCGGUACGUACUGGUCUCACUGAUUCCUCCUCCCUGAAGAACCGUAAUGCCAUUAAUUUGGUGUUGCGGGGAAACAGGACUGUUACUUUGAAAAAAUUAGAGUGUUCAAAGCAAGCUAACGCUUGAAUACAUUAGCAUGGAAUAAUGAAAUAGGACGAUCGGUCCUAUUUCGUUGGUUUCUAGGAUUGACGUA
rnacentral:rRNA from 1 species